GUACUUACUUUUGCAGCACAUAUACUAAAAUUAGAACAAUACAGAGAAGAUUAGCAUGGUACCUGCAGAGGAUAACAUGGAAACUCAUGGAGUGUUUGAUAUUUAA
rnacentral:snRNA from 1 species